rnacentral:rRNA from 1 species
GAUGAACGCUGGCGGCGUGCCUAAUACAUGCAAGUCGAGCGAACAGACGAGGAGCUUGCUCCUCUGACGUUAGCGGCGGACGGGUGAGUAACACGUGGAUAACCUACCUAUAAGACUGGGAUAACUUCGGGAAACCGGAGCUAAUACCGGAUAAUAUAUUGAACCGCAUGGUUCAAUAGUGAAAGACGGUUUUGCUGGCACUUAUAGAUGGAUCCGCGCCGCAUUAGCUAGUUGGUAAGGUAACGGCUUACCAAGGCAACGAUGCGUAGCCGACCUGAGAGGGUGAUCGGCCACACUGGAACUGAGACACGGUCCAGACUCCUACGGGAGGCAGCAGUAGGGAAUCUUCCGCAAUGGGCGAAAGCCUGACGGGGCAACGCCGCGUGAGUGAUGAAGGUCUUCGGAUCGUAAAACUCUGUUAUUAGGGAAGAACAAAUGUGUAAGUAACUAUGCACGUCUUGACGGUACCUAAUCAGAAAGCCACGGCUAACUACGUGCCAGCCGCCGCAGUAA